GCGCGCUCGAGAGCUUUUCGCCCCGCCCCGUUACCCGUCCAAAACCCCUCCAUCCCCGCCGCUUCUUGUGCCUCGGGGGGCGGGGGUUUCCAGCGAGAUAUUAGAUGUUCCAGUGCUUCCUGCCAUCAUUCUGGACACGGAACAUCUAACAUCCCCUCAAAAGGAAGUAUUGAAAUUGGUACCACUCUCAGAGAGUCUGGCAGCGUGGAAACUUCUGCCAGGCAUUUCUGCAUGGGUGUUGAGCACAGUACGGAUAGGAUACAGGAUCCAAUUUAUUCGUCAUCCUCCACGUUUCAACGCGUGGUUUCCACUUCCGUGAAACCGGAGCUGAUGCAGGUACUGUCUCAAGAGCUACAAACUCUUCUGGGCAAAGAGGCCAUAGAACAUGUUCCUCUUCCACAGAGAGAGUCGGGCUAUUACAGCAGAUACUUCCUAGUUCCCAAAAAGGGUGGGGGAGUGCGUCCAAUCUUGGAUCUUCGAGGCUUAAACCGUACAAUCAGAGCACUCAAGUUCAAGAUGUUAACCGUCAAGACGGUCGUGUCGCAAAUUCGGCAUCGCGAUUGGUUUAUCACGAUCGAUCUGAAGGACGCAUAUUUUCAUAUAGAGAUUUUGCCACAACACAGGAAAUUCCUGAGGUUCGCUUUCGGGGGCGAAGCAUACCAGUUUCGGGUUCUUCCUUUCGGCCUAGCCUUAUCACCCCGCACGUACACAAAAUGCAUGGAUGCAGCGCUGGCUCCAUUACGACUCCAGGGCAUUCGCAUUUUGAAUUAUAUCGACGAUUGGCUGAUACUAGCGCAAUCGCGAGAGAUGGCGCUACAACACAGGGACAUCGUGUUAGCUCAUCUAGUUUCUCUGGGGUUGAGACUCAACACCGAGAAGAGUGUUCUCUGUCCGAACUCAGAGAACGACUUAUCUCGGGAUCGUUUGGGAUUCGAUCACGAUGCGGGCACAACUGUCUCCCGCUCGGAUCAAGACCAUUCAGCAGACCAUGAGCAAGGUCAGGCUAGGCCAGGAUCGCACUGUUCGUCAGUAUCAAAAGAUGCUAGGUUUCAUGGCUUCAGCAUCCACGGUGAUUCCUUUGGGGCUGUUACACAUGAGACCGUUUCAAUUGUGGCUAAAAGCAGAGGAUUUCAUCCGAGAGCCAAUCCUCAAAGGCAAAUAAAAGUGACGCGCCGCGGGCCUCCUACACUAUCUCUGUGGAUCAGACCCCGGUUCCUUGCCUUGGGUCCCACUUCACUUAAGACAGAGCAGAUGAUGUUUGGGUG
rnacentral:lncRNA from 1 species